rnacentral:rRNA from 1 species
GAUUGAACGCUGGCGGCAUGCUUUACACAUGCAAGUCGAACGGCAGCGCGGGCUUCGGCCUGGCGGCGAGUGGCGAACGGGUGAGUAAUACAUCGGAACAUGCCCACUUGUGGGGGAUAGCUCGGCGAAAGCCGGAUUAAUACCGCAUGAGAUCUACGGAUGAAAGCAGGGGACCUUCGGGCCUUGCGCGAGUGGAGUGGCCGAUGGCAGAUUAGGUAGUUGGUGGGGUAAAGGCCUACCAAGCCUGCGAUCUGUAGCUGGUCUGAGAGGACGACCAGCCACACUGGGACUGAGACACGGCCCAGACUCCUACGGGAGGCAGCAGUGGGGAAUUUUGGACAAUGGGCGCAAGCCUGAUCCAGCAAUGCCGCGUGCAGGACGAAGGCCCUCGGGUUGUAAACUGCUUUUGUACAGAACGAAAAGAGCUGGGUUAAUACCCUGGUUUUAUGACGGUACUGUAAGAAUAAGCACCGGCUAACUACGU